AAAUUGAAGAGUUUGAUCAUGGCUCAGAUUGAACGCUGGCGGCAGGCCUAACACAUGCAAGUCGAACGGUAACAGGAAGCAGCUUGCUGCUUUGCUGACGAGUGGCGGACGGGUGAGUAAUGUCUGGGAAACUGCCUGAUGGAGGGGGAUAACUACUGGAAACGGUGGCUAAUACCGCA
rnacentral:rRNA from 3 species